CUUCACACAUUUCCCAGAUGUUCAGCGUGUGUCUUGGAUGCCCUGGUCUCUUACUGCCAUGCCCCUCAGCAUCUUAAAUCCCCUCCCCUUCUGACGUCCAGAGCCACUGCACUUCUUCCUUUCAAAACCAGCACCAGGAGAACCUCUGUUCACAGCUUACACAGGCUGCUUCUUCCAAGGUUGUUAUUUGUCUUUUUGGAGAGGGCAAAACGAAUGAAGUCCCCAUGUUUAAAUUUUGGGAAUCAACAAGCUAGGUUCAGCCUCUGUGUUUUGGGGUCAGGAUUUUGACUGCUGAUGCCCUGGAGAUAAAGGUCCACGUCACUGUCUUUCUGAGAAAUACUUAAGCCUUGGAUUCAGACACAGCACCGUAUGGAAGCUGCCUCAGAGAUUGAAACAGGGAAGAGGAAUCUUUGCAAGGAUAAUAGGGAUGGUGGAGAAAAGAGAGAGAUGCCAGGAGUCCAUGGUGCCCUCCAGCAGAUCCCGGAAAGAGUCUUUGUGAAUUUUAGUGUCUUCUGCCUCCUCUGAACUCCACAGUCAUGCACCUUAUUUGCAAAGUCCUGGUCAUCACUGGCCCCGAUGGCAUUCACUGUUGAAGUUGGCAGUAGUAUGGCUUGGUUGGUGACAUAAGGCCAGACGAAUGAUGAUCUCCUCCCAGAACUCCUAAAAUGCGCAGAAAGUCUCCUUUCAGCAUUCCCCUGAAGAGCUGCAACCCAUUUUCUACUGCUUGGUCAGAAGUUCAGAGAAAGGACAUCAGCACCCGCAUGUCUGCCUCUAAUCCCUUGAUGUCUCUAUCGCCUUCCCAGCAUGCACACUUUGAUGAAGCCAGCUGACAUAUUAGAGUUUAUGUGACAAGGGAGCUUUCAGCCCACAGCCAGGGAGAAACCAAGAUCCUCAGCACAGCAACCCAGGAGGAAAGGAAACCUGCCAAAGCAUUGUGGGCUUGCAAGCAAAGCUUUCCCCCAAUAGAGCCCUUAGAGGAGUCCACCCUGCCUUUGUCAACACCUUAACUGCAGCCUUUUGGGAGACCCUGAAGCAGAGGACCACGAAGUUUUAGUCUGGGAUGCACAGUCAGGAAGAGAAUCAGGGGAGGACUGGUUAGCCAUACAUGAUAACAGAUGAGAAGACCAAAACAUAGAGAAGUCAUUUGCAUAAGAUUACAGAAUGAGGAGUUUCUGCACCACGCAUGCCUUCUUCGUGCAGUUGGUAUAAGAACCCAAAGAAAGAAGAGAUGGAAAAGCACUUCAGUCAAACCCUGCACCCGUGUAAGGGAGGAGGCUUACCCCGUUGUUGCUUCAUCACUUUUCAAAUGAGUUCCAUGUUUAGAUCUUUAAAAUGUGACAUCGGCUUUUUGUUUGUCACUGGUCUUCUGUUCAUUUCAUCAAUAACACUAAUUUAAUA